ACAAACUGCACAAGCAGGAGUCCUGAGGCCUGCAAAAUGCCUGCAGAAUAACUCAGUAUCCAACUUACUCCAGUUUAUGCUGUAGGUAAACUGAGUCAGUGCUGCAGCCACUUUUGCAGAAAAGGAACGGUGGUAGUCAUAGAAGGCUGUACCACCGUAUUUGUGCCCCAGAUCCACCAGCUUGUAGCUACAAACUAUAAAGGAG